UAAGCAUAUCAAUAAGCGGAGGAAAAGAAACCAACAGGGAUUGCCCCAGUAACGGCGAGUGAAGCGGCAACAGCUCAAAUUUGAAAUCUGGCCCCAGGCCCGAGUUGUAAUUUGCAGAGGAUGCUUUUGGCGCGGUGCCUUCCGAGUUCCCUGGAACGGGACGCCAUAGAGGGUGAGAGCCCCGUACGGUUGGACACCAAGUCUUUGUAAAGCUCCUUCGACGAGUCGAGUAGUUUGGGAAUGCUGCUCAAAAUGGGAGGUAUAUUUCUUCUAAAGCUAAAUAUUGGCCAGAGACCGAUAGCGCACAAGUAGAGUGAUCGAAAGAUGAAAAGCACUUUGAAAAGAGGGUUAAACAGCACGUGAAAUUGUUAAAAGGGAAGCGCUUAUGACCAGACUUGCGCCCGGUGAAUCACCCAGCUCUCGCGGCUGGGGCACUUUGCCGGCUCAGGCCAGCAUCAGCUCGCUGUCGGGGACAAAAGCUUCGGGAACGUAGCUCUCUUCGGGGAGUGUUAUAGCCCGUUGCACAAUACCCUUCGGCGGGCUGAGGUACGCGCUCCGCAAGGAUGCUGGCGUAAUGGUCAUCAGCGACCCGUCUUGAAACACGGACCAAGGAGUCAACCUUAUGUGCGAGUGUUUGGGUGUCAAACCCCUACGCGUAAUGAAAGUGAACGCAGGUGAGAGCUUCGGCGCAUCAUCGACCGAUCCUGAUGUUCUCGGAUGGAUUUGAGUAAGAGCAUAUAGGGUUGGACCCGAAAGAAGGUGAACUAUGCGUGUAUAGGGUGAAGCCAGAGGAAACUCUGGUGGAGGCUCGCAGCGGUUCUGACGUGCAAAUCGAUCGUCAAAUAUGCGCAUGGGGGGCGAAAGACUAAUCGAACCUUCUAGUAGCUGGUUUCCGCCGAAGU
rnacentral:rRNA from 1 species